UUCUUCAGGGGGGACUCUGAAGGAUCAUUACCACACUCAUAAAACUCUCCACGUGAGAAGUGUCACACCCUAGUGGGGGGUCUCAUUUGGCGGGGGGUGUGGGCUUAUUUGUGGGCGCCUGUGGUGGAGUGAGCCCUCUCUCAAAAAAAAGGCGAACGUUUGGGCUUCGGCCUGAUUUAGUAGUCUUUUUUUCUUUUAAACCCAUUCCUUAAUACUGAAUAUACUGUGGGGACGAAAGUCUCUGCUUUUAACUAGAUAGCAACUUUCAGCAGUGGAUGUCUAGGCUCGCACAUCGAUGAAGAACGCUGCGAACUGCGAUACGUAAUGCGAAUUGCAGGAUUCAGUGAGUCAUCGAAAUUUUGAACGCAUAUUGCACUUCCGGGUUAGUCCUGGAAGUAUGCCUGUAUCAGUGUCCGUACAUUAAACUUGACUUUCUUCCUUCCGUGUAGUCGGUGGAGGAGAUGUCAGAUGUGAAGUGUCUUGCGAUUGGUCUUCGGACCGGCUGCGAGUCCUUUUAAAUGUACUAAACUGAACUUCUCUUUGCUCGAAAAGUGGUGGCGUUGCUGGUUGUGAAGGCUGCUAUUGUGGCAAAUUGGCGACUGGUUUGUCUGCUGCGGCAUUAAUGGAAGAGUGUUCGAUUCGUGGUAUGGUUGGCUUCGGCUGAACAAUGCACUUAUUGGACGUUUUUCCUGCUGUGGCGUGAUGGACUGGUGAACCAUAGCUCGGUGGCUUGGCUUUUGAAUUGGCUUUGCUGUUGCGAAGUAGGGUGGCAGCUUCGGUUGUCGAGGGUCGAUCCAUUUGGGAACUUAAUGUGUACUUCGGUAUGCAUCUCAAUUGGACC
rnacentral:rRNA from 1 species